AACGAACGCUGGCGGCAUGCCUAACACAUGCAAGUCAAACGAACCCCCCGAUUUCGGUUGGGGGCUUAGGGGCGCACGGGUGCGUAACGCGGGGGGAUCUACCAUAGGGGGCGAAAUAACUCAAAAAAAUUUGAGCUAAUACCGCAUAAUGUCUUCGGACCAAAAAUUUAUCGCCCUUUGAUGAACCCGCGUAGGAUUAGCUUGUUGGUGAGGUAAAAGCUCACCAAGGCAACAAUCUUUAGCUGGUCUGAGAGGAUGAUCAGCCACACUGGGACUGAAACACGGCCCAAACUCCUACGGGAGGCAGCAGUGGGGAAUAUUGGACAAUGGGCGAAAGCCUGAUCCAGCAAUGCCGCGUGAGUGAUGAAGGCCUUAGGGUUGUAAAGCUCUUUUACCAGGGAUGAUAAUGACAGUACCUGGAGAAUAAGCUCCGGCUAACUCCGUG
rnacentral:rRNA from 1 species